UACGGGGGGAGCAAGCGUUGUUCGGAUUUACUGGGCGUAAAGGGCGCGUAGGCGGCCUCCGCAAGUCAGUUGUGAAAUCUCCGGGCUUAACUCGGAAAGGUCAACUGAUACUGUGCGACUAGAGUGCGGAAGGGGCAACUGGAAUUCUCGGUGUAGCGGUGAAAUGCGUAGAUAUCGAGAGGAACACCUGCGGCGAAGGCGGGUUGCUGGGCCGACACUGACGCUGAUGCGCGAAAGCCAGGGGAGCGAACGGG
rnacentral:rRNA from 1 species